rnacentral:rRNA from 1 species
UGAGUAACACGUGGGUGAUCUGCCCUGCACUUUGGGAUAAGCCUGGGAAACUGGGUCUAAUACCGAAUAGGACCACGCAUUUCAUGGUGUGUGGUGGAAAGCUUUUGCGGUGUGGGAUGGGCCCGCGGCCUAUCAGCUUGUUGGUGGGGUAAUGGCCUACCAAGGCGACGACGGGUAGCCGGCCUGAGAGGGUGACCGGCCACACUGGGACUGAGAUACGGCCCAGACUCCUACGGGAGGCAGCAGUGGGGAAUAUUGCACAAUGGGCGCAAGCCUGAUGCAGCGACGCCGCGUGAGGGAUGACGGCCUUCGGGUUGUAAACCUCUUUCAAUAGGGACGAAGCGCAAGUGACGGUACCUAUAGAAGAAGGACCGGCCAACUACGUGCCAGCAGCCGCGGUAAUACGUAGGGUCCGAGCGUUGUCCGGAAUUACUGGGCGUAAAGAGCUCGUAGGUGGUUUGUCGCGUUGUUCGUGAAAACUCACAGCUUAACUGUGGGCGUGCGGGCGAUACGGGCAGACUAGAGUACUGCAGGGGAGACUGGAAUUCCUGGUGUAGCGGUGGAAUGCGCAGAUAUCAGGAGGAACACCGGUGGCGAAGGCGGGUCUCUGGGCAGUAACUGACGCUGAGGAGCGAAAGCGUGGGGAGCGAACAGGAUUAGAUACCCUGGUAGUCCACGCCGUAAACGGUGGGUACUAGGUGUGGGUUUCCUUCCUUGGGAUCCGUGCCGUAGCUAACGCAUUAAGUACCCCGCCUGGGGGAGUACGGCCGCAAGGCUAAAACUCAAAGGAAUUGACGGGGGGCCCGCACAA